UACGUAGGGUGCGAGCGUUGUCCGGAAUUAUUGGGCGUAAAGGGCUCGUAGGCGGUUUGUCGCGUCGGGAGUGAAAACACUGGGCUUAACUCAGUGCUUGCUUCCGAUACGGGCAGACUAGAGGUAUGCAGGGGAGAACGGAAUUCCUGGUGUAGCGGUGAAAUGCGUAGAUAUCCGGAGGAACACCAGUGGCGAAGGCGACUUCCUGGCCUGUUCUUGACGCUGAGGCGCGAAAGCUGGGGGAGCAAACGGG
rnacentral:rRNA from 1 species